UUUAGAAAAAAGGAGAAUGAUGCUGCAGUUAAAAUCCAAAGCUGGUUUCGAGCAUGUCAAGUUCGGGCAUACAUCAGGUAUUUACACAGAAUAGCAACAAUUAUUCAAAAAUGGUGGAGAAGUUAUUUAGGGAGAAAACACUAUUACUUAACUGUGAAGGUAGCAUAUUAUACUAUGAAGAUGAAUUUCUACAAUGCAAUGGCUGUCAGG